CCUUCGCGGGCUCCUCACCCAUCCCCUCCAAAUCCUUCAUCGGCGGCACCUCUCACCGUUGCACCGCCGUUGUCCGAAGCUCCAUCACACCCCUUUCCCAAUCUCUCCGUCACACCCGUUCACCAGUCUCUCUCUUUCAGCUUCGACGCCGAUGAAUUUCGCAACCCUCUCAACACCGUUUUCUGUCGCUGCUCGUUGAAGCUCGUUAGCGUCGUCGCCGCUUCUACCUUUUCUUCUCAUCGCCGUUGAUUCAGAGAUUUAUCCCAGCUGAAUUUGGAGCAGACCCUACCAAAGUUCAAAUAUAUGACUUGGAGGAUGGCCACAAUUUAUACGCACCCAAACUCAAAAUUUGCCAGAUGGUUGAGGCCGAACACAUUCCAUAUACCUGCAUUUGCUACAAUUUCUUCAUGAAGAUUUUGCUCCCUUCUCUUGUUCAGCCAGGCUUAAAUGCUCUUCCUAGUGACAAGGCGUAUUUGUUAAGGAAAAUGAUGUCGCUGCCUUCACUAUUAGCACAGUUGAUAAACCCCGCACCUUGAACAAACUGUUGUACUUGAGACCUUCAAAAAACAUUUGUUCUCUGAAUGAACUAGUCGAGAUGUGGGAAACUAAAAUUGGGAAGAAGCUUGAGAAAUCACACAUCUCAGAAGAAGAGCUGAUCAAGAAAAUUGAAGGUAAUACUUUGACUUCAAAUUGAUUGUGACUAUGUUGCUGCUUCUUGUCACUUUUGUCAAUUAAGCAUCAAGAUUCUAGAUGGCAUGAAAAAUCAUCUCAUGUUAAGACUGACAGGGAUAUGAAGUUUCUACUUAGAUAUAGAGAAAUGUAAGGAAAACUUCUUGUCGCUUUAGUCUGAAACUUUCAAACCCUCAAAACUUAAAGGGGUUUGGUUUUGUUUCGCUUCCAUUGUGUUUCACUCACUCUUCGCUUUCAAUUCAUCCAUUCCCAAUCAGAAUCAAAAUCAGAAUCAGAAUCAGAAUCAGAAUCAGAAUCAGGUCUCAGCUUCGAACCCUCUUUCCUUACUUAUAAUUUGAUUUUCAUUCUAAUCGUACCCUAAUAUCUCCUUCUCUUUGUUUCAGCUGCUUCUUUUGCUAUGGCUUCCACUUCCCAAAAGGAAAUUAUUUCUGAUGGCAAGGCUGCUUUAGCAGAGAAAAAAAUUCCAAAGAUGAAACAUCUUCGAAAGAUUCACAGGGAGAACAAAAAGCUGCUUCUAAAUCUUUUGUUUGUUUAGAUGACAAGGCUGCUGCAACAGAGAAUAAAAACUCCAAGGAUGAAACAUCUUCGAAAGAUUCACAGGGAGGACAAAGAGCUACUUCUGGAUCUGCACCUGGGUUUCCACCCAACCCUUUUGAUUUCUCCGCAAUGUCUGGUUUGCUCAAUGAUCCAAGUAUCAAGAAACUGGCUGAGCAGAUAGCAAAAGACCCAUCGUUCAAUCAAAUGGCUGGGCAGCUUCAGAAAACUUUUCAUGGUGCAACACAGGAUAGUAUCCCUAGCUUCGAUAAUUAGCAACGUUAUUCUACCAUGCAGCAGGUGAUGCAGAAUCCUAACUUCAUGACCAUGGCUAAGCGCUUGGGUAAUGCAUUGAUGCAGGUAUUUAUAAACUUCUUGUACUCUGUUAUAUAAAAUAGCUAUUGGUUG